rnacentral:misc_RNA from 1 species
GAUGAAGAACGUAGCGAAAUGCGAUAAGUAAUGUGAAUUGCAGAAUUCAGUGAAUCAUCGAAUCUUUGAACGCACCUUGCACCCUUUGGUAUUCCGAAGGGUAUGCUCGUUUGAGUGUCAUUGUACUCUCACACUUCUAAUUCCUUUCGGGAUUGGGAGCGGUGGACUUGGGUGCUGCUGCUUUAGUUGUGGCUCACCUCAAAUAAGUUAGUGCAACUCUUGGUUGGACAUAGUACGGCGUGAUAAGUGUCUUCGCCGGCGCCUCUGUAAGGAGGGUGGCCGAUCGGGAGCUCUGUGCUUCAAACCGUCUUCGGACAAUCUUUGACAACUUGACCUCAAAUCGAGUAGGACUACCCGCUGAACUUAAGCAUAUCAAUAAGCGGAGGA